UGGUGAGCUCUUUGAGAGGCUGGUCCAUCCCUGAGUCUACUCAGAGGUCAGGGCCCCUGAGGGCCCCUGAAUGUUUGCUGAAUGAAUGAUUUCACAGUUACAAAUUACACUAGAAGAUGAUCAAUGCAUGCUGAAGAAUACUUUAGUGAGCAUUAUUUAAUUGCACAUUCACUAUAACAUUGAAAAUUAGCAUGUUAUAGAUCAUGAAACUGAAGACAACCAGCUACUAAUACAGCCUUAUUCAAACAGAAUUGGUGGGAUCCAGCUAAUCUAAGGAC